rnacentral:rRNA from 1 species
ACUCUAAGCGGUGGAUCACUCGGCUCAUGGGUCGAUGAAGAACGCAGCAAAACUGUGCGUCAUCGUGUGAACUGCAGGACACAUGAACAUCGACAUUUUGAACGCAUAUCGCAGUCCAUGCUGUUAUGUACUUUAAUUAAUUUUAUAGUGCUGCUUGGACUACAUAUGGUUGAGGGUUGUAAGACUAUGCUAAUUAAGUUGCUUAUUAAAUUUUUAUAAGCAUAUGGUAUAUUAUUGGAUAAAUAUAAUAAUUUUUAUUCAUAAUAUUAAAAAAUAAAUGAAAAACAUUAUCUCACAUUUGAAUGUGAAAAACGAAGAGAAAUAUUUUCUUUUUCAAUCAAAUAAUACUGAGAAAUGUCUAGCAUAAAAAAUUGAAAUAUUUUUCAUCUAGAAUUGUCUCUUAUUAAUGAUUCGGAAAUAGAAAAAAUCUUGGUUAUGUUAUUAUUCUUCGUUGGUUCGUUAAAAAUGGAAUAAAUAAAAACUUUGCAUACAAGAAUUAAUAAAAAAUGUUAUAACGAAUUUAAUUAAAUGUUUUAUCAUUAUAUAUAAAGAAUUUAUGGCAAGAUACAACCUCAACUCAUAUGGGACUACCCCCUGAAUUUAAGCAUAUUAAUUAGGGAGGAAAAAGAAACUAACAAGGAUUUUCUUAGUUAGCCGGCGAGCGAAAAGAAAACAGUUCAGCACUAAGUCACUUUGUCUAUUAUGGCAAAUGUGAGAUGCAGUGUAUGGAGCGUCAAUAUUCUAGUAUGAGAAAUUAACGAUUUAAGUCCUUCUUAAAUGAGGCCAUUUACCAUAGAGGGUGCCAGGCCCGUAUAACGUUAAUGAUUACUAGAUGAUGUUUCCAAAGAGUCGUGUUGCUUGAUAGUGCAGCACUAAGUGGGUGGUAAACUCCAUCUAAAACUAAAUAUAACCAUGAGACCGAUAGUAAACAAGUACCGUGAGGGAAAGUUGAAAAGAACUCUGAAUAGAGAGUUUAAACAGUACGUGAAACUGCUUAGAGGUUAAGCCCGAUGAACCUGAAUAUCCGUUAUGGAAAAUUCAUCAUUAAAAUUGUAAUAUUUAAAUAAUAUUAUGAGAAUAGUGUGCAUUUUUUCAUAUAAGGACAUUGUAAUCUAUUAGCAUAUACCAAAUUUAUCAUAAAAUAUAACUUAUAGUUUAUUCCAAUUAAAUUGCUUGCAUUUUAACACAGAAUAAAAUGUUAUUAAUUUGAUAAAGUGCUGAUAGAUUUAUAUGAUUACAGUGCGUUAAUUUUUUCGGAAUUAUAUAAUGGCAUAAUUAUCAUUGAUUUUUGUGUUUAUUAUAUGCACUUGUAUGAUUAAACAAUGCGAAAGAUUCAGGAUACUUCGGGACCCGUCUUGAAACACGGACCAAGGAGUCUAACAUAUGUGCAAGUUAUUGGGAUAUAAACCUAAUAGCGUAAUUAACUUGACUAAUAAUGGGAUUAGUUUUUUUAGCUAUUUAUAGCUAAUUAACACAAUCCCGGGGCGUUCUAUAUAGUUAUGUAUAAUGUAUAUUUAUAUUAUUUAUGCCUCUAACUGGAACGUACCUUGAGCAUAUAUGCUGUGACCCGAAAGAUGGUGAACUAUACUUGAUCAGGUUGAAGUCAGGGGAAACCCUGAUGGAAGACCGAAAACAGUUCUGACGUGCAAAUCGAUUGUCAGAAUUGAGUAUAGGGGCGAAAGACCAAUCGAACCAUCUAGUAGCUGGUUCCUUCCGAAGUUUCCCUCAGGAUAGCUGGUGCAUUUUAAUAUUAUAUAAAAUAAUCUUAUCUGGUAAAGCGAAUGAUUAGAGGCCUUAGGGUCGAAACGAUCUUAACCUAUUCUCAAACUUUAAAUGGGUAAGAACCUUAACUUUCUUGAUAUGAAGUUCAAGGUUAUGAUAUAAUGUGCCCAGUGGGCCACUUUUGGUAAGCAGAACUGGCGCUGUGGGAUGAACCAAACGUAAUGUUACGGUGCCCAAAAUUAACAACUCAUGCAGAUACCAUGAAAGGCGUUGGUUGCUUAAAACAGCAGGACGGUGAUCAUGGAAGUCGAAAUCCGCUAAGGAGUGUGUAACAACUCACCUGCCGAAGCAACUAGCCUUAAAAUGGAUGGCGCUUAAGUUGUAUACCUAUACAUUACGCUAAAGUAGAUGAUUUAUAUUACUUGUGAUAUAAAUUUUGAAACUUUAGUGAGUAGGAAGGUACAAUGGUAUGCGUAGAAGUGUUUGGCGUAAGCCUGCAUGGAGCUGCCAUUGGUACAGAUCUUGGUGGUAGUAGCAAAUAAUCGAAUGAGACCUUGGAGGACUGAAGUGGAGAAGGGUUUCGUGUGAACAGUGGUUGAUCACGAGUUAGUCGGUCCUAAGUUCAAGGCGAAAGCCGAAAAUUUUCAAGUAAAACAAAAAAUGCCUAACUAUAUAAACAAAGCGAAUUAUAAUACACUUGAAUAAUUUUGAACGAAAGGGAAUACGGUUCCAAUUCCGUAACCUGUUGAGUAUCCGUUUGUUAUUAAAUAUGGGCCUCGUGCUCAUCCUGGCAACAGGAACGACCAUAAAGAAGCCGUCGAGAGAUAUCGGAAGAGUUUUCUUUUCUGUUUUAUAGCCGUACUACCAUGGAAGUCUUUCGCAGAGAGAUAUGGUAGAUGGGCUAGAAGAGCAUGACAUAUACUGUUGUGUCGAUAUUUUCUCCUCGGACCUUGAAAAUUUAUGGUGGGGACACGCAAACUUCUCAACAGGCCGUACCAAUAUCCGCAGCUGGUCUCCAAGGUGAAGAGUCUCUAGUCGAUAGAAUAAUGUAGGUAAGGGAAGUCGGCAAAUUAGAUCCGUAACUUCGGGAUAAGGAUUGGCUCUGAAGAUUGAGAUAGUCGGGCUUGAUUGGGAAACAAUAACAUGGUUUAUGUGCUCGUUCUGGGUAAAUAGAGUUUCUAGCAUUUAUGUUAGUUACUUGUUCCCCGGAUAGUUUAGUUACGUAGCCAAUUGUGGAACUUUCUUGCUAAAAUUUUUAAGAAUACUAUUUGGGUUAAACCAAUUAGUUCUUAUUAAUUAUAACGAUUAUCAAUUAACAAUCAAUUCAGAACUGGCACGGACUUGGGGAAUCCGACUGUCUAAUUAAAACAAAGCAUUGUGAUGGCCCUAGCGGGUGUUGACACAAUGUGAUUUCUGCCCAGUGCUCUGAAUGUCAAAGUGAAGAAAUUCAAUAAGCGAGAAGAAAGAAGACAGAGGAGGCGAAUUAUAAGGAGAAAAUAGAGCAGAUAAGAGGGCAAUCAGCUCUCGCCCCGGAAGUUGCUAAUCUAACCAUAAGGCGCCGCCCUAGUAGAAGUGAGCAAGACCACCAAGUAACAACAUCGGAAACAACUCCAAUCACUCCCUUCGAACAGUCGAACAGGGAAAUUUUGCGGACACUACGCGGGUA